UACGGAGGGUGCAAGCGUUAAUCGGAAUUACUGGGCGUAAAGCGCACGCAGGCGGUCUGUCAAGUCGGAUGUGAAAUCCCCGGGCUCAACCUGGGAACUGCAUUCGAAACUGGCAGGCUAGAGUCUCGUAGAGGGGGGUAGAAUUCCAGGUGUAGCGGUGAAAUGCGUAGAGAUCUGGAGGAAUACCGGUGGCGAAGGCGGCCCCCUGGACGAAGACUGACGCUCAGAUGCGAAAGCGUGGGGAGCAAACAGG
rnacentral:rRNA from 1 species